rnacentral:rRNA from 1 species
UGGGGAAUAUUGCACAAUGGAGGGAACUCUGAUGCAGCAACGCCGCGUGCGGGAUGACGGCCUUCGGGUUGUAAACCGCUUUCAGCCAUGACGAAGCUUUUGUGACGGUAGUGGUAGAAGAAGCACCGGCUAACUACGUGCCAGCAGCCGCGGUGAUACGUAGGGUGCGAGCGUUGUCCGGAAUUAUUGGGCGUAAAGAGCUUGUAGGCGGUUUGUCGCGUCGAUAGUGUAAACACGCAGCUUAACUGUGUGCCUGCUGUCGAUACGGGCUGACUAGAGGAGGGUAGGGGAGAAUGGAAUUCCCGGUGGAGCGGUGGAAGGCGCAGAUAUCGGGAGGAACACCAGUGGCGAAGGCGGUUCUCUGGACCUUUCCUGACGCUGAGAAGCGAAAGAGUGGGUAGCAAACAGG